AACGAACGCUGGCGGCAUGCUUAACACAUGCAAGUCGAACGAGAAAGCCCUUCGGGGUGAGUAGAGUGGCGCACGGGUGAGUAACGCAUGGGAACGUACCUUUUAGUUGGGGAUAACCACGGGAAACUGUGGCUAAUACCGAAUAAUCUUUUCGAAGCAAAGAAGGCCUCUCCUUGGAAGCUUUUGCUAAAAGAUCGGCCCAUGUCCCAUUAGCUUGUUGGUAGGGUAAUGGCCUACCAAGGCUACGAUGGGUAGCUGGUUUGAGAGAAUGAUCAGCCACACUGGAACUGAGACACGGUCCAGACUCCUACGGGAGGCAGCAGUGGGGAAUAUUGCACAAUGGGGGAAACCCUGAUGCAGCAAUGCCGCGUGAAUGAAGAAGGCUCUUGGGUCGUAAAGUUCUUUCGACAGGGAAGCAGGGUUUUUAUUAGUUUAAUACCUAGUAGACUUGACGGUACCUGCAGAAGAAGCACCGGCU
rnacentral:rRNA from 1 species